AGGAUUCCCCUAGUAACGGCGAGUGAAGAGGGAAAAGCCCAGCACCGAAGCCUGCGCAGGUUUGCUGUUAGGCAAUGUGGUGUUUGGGUCGGCUCGUGGGACCACCACUCCACUCGAAGUCCAGCAUUGAGUAUGGUUCCUGGAUUUGACCCAGAGAGGGUGAAAGGCCCGUACGGUGGAGUAUCAGACAUGUGAGGUGGUCCACUAGGUCGACCUUAGAGUCGGGUUGUUUGGGAAUGCAGCCCAAAGUGGGUGGUAAACUCCAUCCAAGGCUAAAUACAUGCACGAGUCCGAUAGCGAACAAGUACCGUGAGGGAAAGUUGAAAAGUACUCUGAAGAGAGAGUAAACAGUACGUGAGACCGCAUGCAGGUAAACGGGUGGCGUCAAGCUGCAAGCCCGGAGAAUUCAGUCGGCUAGGUUGUUGUGUAUGCGCCUGGCGCAUCUAUCAGUCAGAGUAUGAUUGGGUAGUCCACUGGUAAACGGUGGGCCUGUCCGCAAGUCAGGAUAUGCGUACCGGGUGGGUGCCGGAGCAUGCUAUCCGUCUGGGGACUGUCUAGCCGGUGCACUUUCUCCGCGGUUGACACCACGACCGGUGGUAUUGUCAGUCUGCCACGCUCAAGUCGCAUUUGGUAGGUCCUCGCGGUCAACCAGUUGCGAUCACAGGCAAAUUCAGUGAACGGCGUGAAGAUGUUUCGGCAGCUUUACGUGUUAUCGGGCACUGGUUGUGAACGGGCCUGCUCAGUGUUUGUUGUGACCGACACAGAGUGGUCUGGUGGGGCGUGGUGGUAAGAACAACUGUGCAAGGCACCGGGGUUAUCGGCCUCAAAUGCGUCCUACGCCCACGUUACAAGUGGUAUGAUAGUAGGUACUGUGUCGUCGCUGCCUGCUCGGUGCUGGGUGUGAUUGCGUGUCGCCUGCGCAAAGCAGGCCCGUCGAUGGCCCGGUCCGAGGUGGGUGGUUGGUGGCGCUGUCGACGGCGUAGGUCGCUGUGGGCCAACUAGUCGGUGGU
rnacentral:rRNA from 1 species